GAUGAACGCUGGCGGCGUGCCUAAUACAUGCAAGUCGAGCGAACAGAUGAGGAGCUUGCUCCUCUGACGUUAGCGGCGGACGGGUGAGUAACACGUGGAUAACCUACCUAUAAGACUGGGAUAACUUCGGGAAACCGGAGCUAAUACCGGAUAAUAUAUUGAACCGCAUGGUUCAAUAGUGAAAGACGGUUUUGCUGUCACUUAUAGAUGGAUCCGCGCCGCAUUAGCUAGUUGGUAAGGUAACGGCUUACCAAGGCAACGAUGCGUAGCCGACCUGAGAGGGUGAUCGGCCACACGGGAACUGAGACACGGUCCAGACUCCUACGGGAGGCAGCAGUAGGGAAUCUUCCGCAAUGGGCGAAAGCUUGACGGAGCAACGCCGCGUGAGUGAUGAAGGUCUUCGGAUCGUAAAACUCUGUUAUGAGGGAAGAACAAAUGUGUAAGUAACUAUGCACGUCUUGACGGUACCUAAUCAGAAAGCCACGGCUAACUACGUG
rnacentral:rRNA from 1 species